UAGGCGCCAGAACUUUAUAAUAAAGUUGACGAGGUCUAGAGUUAUCGAAAUUUUCGGCGGGUGCUCUAGUGGCUAAUGCUUAAGGUCAAAGUGUUAAUAAAAAGAUAAUAGUGAUAUUAUAACAAAGAUUAACAC
rnacentral:ncRNA from 1 species